rnacentral:rRNA from 1 species
GAUGAACGCUGGCGGCGUGCCUAAUACAUGCAAGUCGAGCGAACAGACGAGAAGCUUGCUCCUCUGACGUUAGCGGCGGACGGGUGAGUAACACGUGGAUAACCUACCUAUAAGACUGGGAUAACUUCGGGAAACCGGAGCUAAUACCGGAUAAUAUAUUGAACCGCAUGGUUCAAUAGUGAAAGACGGUUUUGCUGUCACUUAUAGAUGGAUCCGCGCAGCAUUAGCUAGUUGGUAAGGUAACGGCUUACCAAGGCAACGAUGCGUAGCCGACCUGAGAGGGUGAUCGGCCACACUGGAACUGAGACACGGUCCAGACUCCUACGGGAGGCAGCAGUAGGGAAUCUUCCGCAAUGGGCGAAAGCCUGACGGAGCAACGCCGCGUGAGUGAUGAAGGUCUUCGGAUCGUAAAACUCUGUUAUUAGGGAAGAACAAAUGUGUAAGUAACUAUGCACGUCUUGACGGUACCUAAUCAGAAAGCCACGGCUAACUACGUG